rnacentral:rRNA from 1 species
CAGUCGCCGCGGUAAUACGGAGGGAGCUAGCGUUGUUCGGAAUUACUGGGCGUAAAGCGCGCGUAGGCGGUUACUCAAGUCAGAGGUGAAAGACCGGGGCUCAACCCCGGAACUGCCUUUGAAACUAGGUGACUAGAAUCUUGGAGAGGUCAGUGGAAUUCCGAGUGUAGAGGUGAAAUUCGUAGAUAUUCGGAAGAACACCAGUGGCGAAGGCGACUGACUGGACAAGUAUUGACGCUGAGGUGCGAAAGCGUGGGGAGCAAACAGGAUUAGAUACCCCGGUAGUCCCUGUCUCUUAUAC